AUGAACGCUAGCGGCAGGCUUAACACAUGCAAGUCGAGGGGCAGCACGAGGUAGCAAUACUUUGGUGGCGACCGGCGCACGGGUGCGUAACGCGUAUGCAACCUACCUUUAACAGGGGCAUAACACUGAGAAAUUGGUACUAAUUCCCCAUAACAUUCGAGAAGGCAUCUUCUUGGGUUAAAAACUCCGGUGGUUAAAGAUGGGCAUGCGUUGUAUUAGCUAGUUGGUGAGGUAACGGCUCACCAAGGCAACGAUACAUAGGGGGACUGAGAGGUUAACCCCCCACAUUGGUACUGAGACACGGACCAAACUCCUACGGGAGGCAGCAGUGAGGAAUAUUGGUCAAUGGACGCAAGUCUGAACCAGCCAUGCCGCGUGCAGGAAGACGGCUCUAUGAGUUGUAAACUGCUUUUGUACUAGGGUAAACGCUCUUACGUGUAGGAGCCUGAAAGUAUAGUACGAAUAAGGAUCGGCUAACUCCGUGCCAGCAGCCGCGGUAAUACGGAGGAUCCAAGCGUUAUCCGGAUUUAUUGGGUUUAAAGGGUGCGUAGGCGGUUUGAUAAGUUAGAGGUGAAAUACCGGGGCUCAACUCCGGAACUGCCUCUAAUACUGUUGAACUAGAGAGUAGUUGCGGUAGGCGGAAUGUAUGGUGUAGCGGUGAAAUGCUUAGAGAUCAUACAGAACACCGAUUGCGAAGGCAGCUUACCAAACUAUAUCUGACGUUGAGGCACGAAAGCGUGGGGAGCAAACAGGAUUAGAUACCCUGGUAGUCCACGCAGUAAACGAUGAUAACUCGUUGUCGGCGAUACACAGUCGGUGACUAAGCGAAAGCGAUAAGUUAUCCACCUGGGGAGUACGUUCGCAAGAAUGACACUCAAAGGAAUUGACGGGGGCCCGCACAAGCGGUGGAGUAUGUGGUUUAAUUCGACGCAACGCGAAGAACCUUACCAGGUCUUGACAUUGAUCGCGAUCUGCAGAAAUGCGGAGUUCUUCUUCGGAAGACGAGAAAACAGGUGGUGCACGGCUGUCGUCAGCUCGUGUCGUGAGAUGUUGGGUUAAGUCCCGCAACGAGCGCAACCCUUAUCCUCAGUAGCCAGCAAGUGAAGUUGGGCACUCUGUGGAGACUGCCAGGGAUAACCUGGAGGAAGGUGGGGAUGACGUCAAAUCAGCACGGCCCUUACGUCCGGGGCUACACACGUGUUACAAUGGGGGGUACAGAGGGCCGCUACCACGCGAGUGGAUGCCAAUCCCCAAAACCUCUCUCAGUUCGGACUGGAGUCUGCAACCCGACUCCACGAAGCUGGAUUCGCUAGUAAUCGCGCAUCAGCCAUGGCGCGGUGAAUACGUUCCCGGGCCUUGUACACACCGCCCGUCAAGCCAUGGAAGCUGGGGGUGCCUGAAGUUCGUGACCGCAAGGAGCGACCUAGGGCAAAACCGGUGACUGGGGCU
rnacentral:rRNA from 1 species